GUUCAGAAGCAUUUAUUUGAGUAAGAAAAAGAUAAUUCUUUAUUAGAUACACAGGUGGAAGCAGCAGGCAGCAGUAAAAAUAGAAACUUUGCAUGAUAUAAACAAGACGAGAUAUAUAAAAUAUGAAGAACAUUCAUAUUGUUCGGUAUAGCAAGGCAUCAAAAAUGGUCAAAAAAUGUCAUAGUAUAGUAAGACAUCCAAAAAUGUCAAAAAAUGUCAUAGUAUAGUAAGGUGUCAAAAAAUGUCAAAAAUUUUGAUAUUAUACUUAGGCGUCAAAAAUGGUCAAAAAAUGUCAUAGUAUAGUAAGACAUCCAAAAAUGUCAAAAAAUGUCAUAGUAUAGUAAGGCAUCAAAAAUGGUCAAAAAAUGUCAUAGUAUAGUAAGGCAUCAAAAAUGGUCAAAAAAUGUCAUAGUAUAGUAAGACAUCCAAAAAUGUCAAAAAAUGUCAUAGUAUAGUAAGGUGUCAAAAAUGGUCAAAAAAUGUCAUAGUAUAGUAAGACAUCCAAAAAUGUCAAAAAAUGUCAUAGUAUAGCAUGGCGUCAAAAAUGGUUAAAAAAUGUCAUUGUAUAGCAUGGCGUCAAAAAAUGUCAAAAAAUGUCAUAGUAUAGUAAGGCGUCAAAAAAUGUCAUAGUAUAGUAAGGCAUCAAAAAUGGUCAAAAAAUGUCAUAGUAUAGUAAGACAUCCAAAAAUGUCAAAAAAUGUCAUAGUAUAGCAUGGCGUCAAAAAUGGUUAAAAAAUGUCAUUGUAUAGCAUGGCGUCAAAAAAUGUCAAAAAAUGUCAUAGUAUAGUAAGGCGUCAAAAAAUGUCAUAGUAUAGUAAGGCAUCAAAAAUGGUCAAAAAAUGUCAUAGUAUAGUAAGACAUCCAAAAAUGUCAAAAAAUGUCAUAGUAUAGCAUGGCAUCAAAAAUGGUCAAAAAAUGUCAUAGUAUAGUAUGGCGUCAAAAAUCAUCAAAAAAUGUCAUAGUAUAGUAAGGCGUCAAAAAAUGUCAUAGUAUAGUAAGGUGUCAAAAAAUGUCAAAAAUUUUGAUAUUAUACUAAGGCGUCAAAAACGGUCAAAAAAUGUCAUAGUAUAGUAAGGCGUCAAAAAAUGUCAUAGUAUAGUAAGUCAUCAAAAAUGGUCAAAAAAUGUCAUAGUAUAGUAAGGUGUCAAAAAAUGUCAUAGUAUAGUAAGGCAUCAAAAAUGGUCAAAAAAUGACAUAGUAUAGUAAGGUGUCAAAAAUCAUCAAAAAACAUCAUAGUAUGGUAAGGGGUCAAAAAAUGUCAUAGUUUACUAAGGCAUCAAAAAUGGUCAAAAAAUGACAUAGUAUAGUAAGACCUCAAAAAAUGUCAUAGUAUAGUAUGGCGUCAAAAAUCACCAAAAAAGGUCAUAGUACAGUAAGGCGUCAAAAAAUGUCAAAAAUUUUCAUAUUAUACUAAAGCAUCAAAAACAGUGAAAAAAUGUCAUAAUAAGGCAUCAAAAAGGGUAAAAAAAUGUCAGAAUAUAAUAAGGUGCCAAAAAAUGUCAAAAAAUUGUCAUGUUAUAGUAUACUUACUAUAAUAUGAGAUAGUAUGCCUUUGUAUAAUAUGAGAUUUUGUGACAUUUUUUGACGCCUUACUAUACUAUGACAUUUUUUGACUAUAUUUGACACCCAAUAUUAGAUUACUUUCACCAUUACAUACUAUUUUUCUUAUUGCAUAGUACUUCUAACCUUACAGAUAACUUUUAGUGUUGCAAACUACAUCUAGUAACAGAUUACUUUGAUUAUUGCAUGUUACUGCUGAUAUUGCUCAGUACUUUUACAUUACAUCUAUUAAUACAUAUUACUUAUUACAUUACAUUAUUUUUAUAUGGCUGAUUACUAUUAUUACUAUUUUCUGAUUUAUUGAAUCCUGAGCAUAAACAAUUUAAUGUCAGGGUUCUUUGUUAGACAGUUGAUGUAAAGCUGUUGGUGAUUUACCUGGAGGCCUCUGUCCUGUUCUAAAAAACUCCUUGAUUGUAUGAAGACUCUCUGUGAUAGUGGACUACGUUUCUGUAAUUGUGGACAAAGUCUCUUUGAUCAUUGACAAUGACUGAUCACGGAUGAGGCCGUUGAAUCGGGGAACUUCGUCACUACUGACUCUUGCUCAUGUCUCUGCGAGUCACGGACAAGGUCUCUGAUCAUGGACGAUGUCUCCCUCAUCCUCAACAAUGUUUCUCCGAAUGGACGAUGCCUCAGCGAUUGUAGACGAUGGAGGAAUGAGAAACAUAGAAAGGAAAAUGUUCAAUACACUACUACCUACUGCUCAUCAACAAUAAAAACUUUCACUUCACUUUUUUUUGAAAGCAGGUUUUUAACUUGAGAUAUUGUUCAUUAUACUUCAGUGCACAGGCAGAAAAUUAAUUAUAUUAUUCAAUACUAAGAUCAUUAAAUAUCAAGGAUUUAAACAAUAACACUGUUAUUAACAUUAAUAAUUCAUCUCAUCAACACAUUUAUUUUCAGACUGAGUAAAUCUUUAGGACUCAUACCU